rnacentral:rRNA from 1 species
UACGUAGGUGGCGAGCGUUAUCCGGAUUUACUGGGUGUAAAGGGCGUGCAGGCGGGCUGAUAAGUCAGAUGUGAAAUCCCCGAGCUUAACUCGGGAACUGCAUCUGAUACUGUUGGUCUUGAGUGCUGGAGAGGAUAGUGGAAUUCCUAGUGUAGCGGUAAAAUGCGCAGAUAUUAGGAGGAACACCAGUGGCGAAGGCGGCUAUCUGGACAGUAACUGACGCUGAGGCGCGAAAGCGUGGGUAGCAAACAGG